AUCUAAUCCGUUGUUGUUCAAAAUUUGUAUAACCCCGAUUCAAAUCUGAGUAGUUUUAGGUAGCCAAUAUGCAGAUGUGAACUAAAAUUCGAUUAUUCAUCUCUGUAUAAAAUGUUGCUGUUGUUGGAAUCCAUUCAAAGGGAUGUCGAAGCGAAAAAAAAGAAAAAAUAUUUUAACUUUUGGAUGGAUACGGAGGAACAAUCCAACAAUUUAUUUUUCAAAGAGACUGUAAAUUGAUAACAAGUCAAACAAAAUUUAUUUUUGUUAGCUGAACAUGUAGCUUUUCUUCGUCUAGGAUUAGGAAACUGGUGAGUAGAUGUAUAAUUUCUUCGAACUGCUACAUUUUCUUUAUUAUUUUCAUGUAGUGCUCGGAUGUUAUUGAUUUGGAAGAAGAAAAGUGCAAGAUAAGAUUAUCCCGUUUUACUUGAGCUGCCGCUAGACGUCGGCUGCUUCCGUUGAUUCAGUGAGAUAAAUCAAAUGUUGAAGGCAAUAAUUGAAUUAUUAAUAACUAUUUGCUAUAUUUUUAGUGCAUCCGCUGGGAGAACCUGGGUGUUCAACGACAUUGAAAAAUACGGGACGGUCCGAAGUCGCUGUGACAUCGGUCAGGAACAUGUGCUGGAAAAAGUGGACGCCCGAAACCGUACAGAAAAAGUCCUGAAAUAGGUGGUUCGAGUCGAACUCUACAAUCUAGAAGAAUACAUCCAGGAGGAAUCAGUCAGAAACAUCCCAGUUCGAGUAAGAAUGACAAGGGGCUGUUCAAAAAGAGCUAGGAGUUAGGACAGCAGAAACAGCAAUGGAAUCCGCUGACAGCAGAAGCUUGUAGGACAGGAAAAGAGAAUUUCAAUCGAAAUUUUUCAAAAGCACGAAUGUUUGAAAGUGCGAACCAGUGCCGAGGAAGCGCAGACACUGUAGAACAUGCUGGGGAACUACCUGGGCCAUGAGAUAGUGGGUCUGACUGGAAAAAUUCUCGGAACCUAUCCGGCUGAACCUUCGGUAGAUGUGCAUAAAAAAGUUCUACCAAAAGCUUGAGGGAACAGCCGUUUCAUUCUAAAAGAUUCUUUGUUCCCCUCUGGGAUGGGCAACAUAGACGUAAUCAGUACCGGAUGUUGGAUGUUCCAGGUUGGUUGAGCCAUGAUAGGUAUUAAUUUUGCAACAGAAGUAAAAUUUAAAAUAAUUAAAAAA